AUUGAACGCUGGCGGCAGGCCUAACACAUGCAAGUCGAACGGUAGCACAGAGAGCUCGCUCUCGGGUGACGAGUGGCGGACGGGUGAGUAACGUCUGGGAAACUGCCCGAUGGAGGGGGAUAACUACUGGAAACGGUAGCUAAUACCGCAUAACGUCGCAAGACCAAAGUGGGGGACCUUCGGGCCUCACACCAUCGGAUGUGCCCAGAUGGGAUUAGUUAGUAGGUGGGGUAAUGGCUCACCUAGGCGACGAUCCCUAGCUGGUCUGAGAGGAUGACCAGCCACACUGGAACUGAGACACGGUCCAGACUCCUACGGGAGGCAGCAGUGGGGAAUAUUGCACAAUGGGCGCAAGCCUGAUGCAGCCAUGCCGCGUGUAUGAAGAAGGCCUUCGGGUUGUAAAGUACUUUCAGCGGGGAGGAAGGCGGUGAAGUUAAUAGCUUCACCGAUUGACGUUACCCGCAGAGGAAGCACCGGCUAACUCCGUGCCAGCCGCCGCGGUAA
rnacentral:rRNA from 1 species